UUGGAUAUGCAUAUACGAACACAUUAUACAUUUGCAAAUAUUUCAAUUAAGCAGCAAAUUUAAAUGAUCAAUAGGUAUCCUUUCAGUGAUAGAAGGUCAACAUGAUUUGACGUCCUGGGCUGAUUGUGAAAUAAUUUCUUGUUGGGUCUGAAUCCCCCAUAAGUAACCCACCAGCACAAUAUGUCGACCUGCGUACAAUUAGUUGGACUGGAAAAGGCUAAAGCAGUUGACAUGAAAAUAAAACCCUAGCUUUUAAAUCACUAGUAAUGACCCCCAUAACUCUAAUUACUUGAUUAAGUUCUAAGUAAAAAAAAAAAAAAAACCUUAAAACAAAUAAUCAAACAUUUGCAGAUUGGAAUAAAUGUUGAAAUCUUUUUAUCUGGGUAAAGUAAUAGGUAAAUACUUACAUAUAGAGAAUAUUAGGUUACUGUCUUUCUUAACUUAAGUUUAUCCUGUGAGUCGGAAAAAAGUCUAUUCCCCCGAGGCUUGCCGAGGGGGAAUAAACCUUUUGGAGACGAACCGGAUAAACUUAAGUUAAGAAAGACAGUUACCUAAUAUUCUAUUUAUCCUACCACCUUCUUUUAAUAUUCUAUAAAUCCUAUAUAACCUCAUACAUCAAGUUUCCAAAAAAAAAAUGUACAAAAAAUUGCGAACAGACAAUACUUAGUAGAAAGCGAGUAUGAAUUUGACUGAUUACGCUUGACCUCAGUACAUACGCGUAGACAAAUAAUCACCCAAUAUUUAUCACAAUAACACAGAAAUACGUGGUUUAAAAAUUUAUUUGACGCAUUUUGAAUCGAGAAACAUAGUAUGAAGUGAAAGAAAAUCGUAUUUUUAAGCAAUAUUUAUUGCAUUUAAACAUUAGCCAAUCAAUGUGUAAAGUUAACGAGAACGUGUCAGAAAUUAAUUUCAACAUUGCGAAAUAACAGCAGAAGCAAUUAGGGCAAUGUAAAUUUCACGGAUUUACGGACAUUUCAAGCAGUAAGAUGAGAAACCGCUUCUCAGUUAUACACAUUAAAGUUCUGUACAUGGAAUACAGCACCAAAGAACUUCGAACUGAUGGAAAUUGCUGAAUUUGAAGCGGACAUUGACAUAAUUUGCUGCGGAUGAGGCUGGGUGGGGUUUGAUUCAGUGAAUGACACAAUACUACCAUUGCCGCUUGAUGGGACAACCUCGUCAGUAGCAUAUGUAUGUGAGGGCAGACAAGCGACAGAUUCAUUUGAACUAGAAGCUGACAGAAGCUAAAAUUGGUGUUGUGCGUGGUGCCACAUAAAAUGGGUCUUCUUCAUCAGAGUAUCCAGAUGGGCGUUUUGCAACAAAAAGUUUAUACAUUGCCACUGGAUCCCUGUCGCAGGAAGUUGCGAACAUUUUUGGUGCAACUUUGCGGACGUCUGUUAAGUUCUCACCGGAACGGGCUUUCGUCUGUCUUUCAUUAAGUUCGAGAUAUUCCUCGCCAGUUGUUGCCUGUUUAAAUUUUAUGUCUCCCCAUCUGUAUAAUACCAGAAAAACAUUGUCAGAAAUGAAAUUUUAUCUAUCAGGAUCAAUAUAAACAGAUAGAUCAUAGAAUUUUUGCAGGUUACAGAUGUGGAAUUUAUAAGUUAAUAACAAAAUAUUCCUUUUGAUUGAGACCAAACCGUCGCCUUUUUCCUACUGAUAGCAUUUUAUUUCGCAUAUAAUUAUUGAUGUUAUAAUAUUCUCUAUAAAACGGGGUGGAAUUCUGAAUUCUAACAUGGCUCGAUUUGAUUUCCAGUUAAACAAGGAAGAAAAUCAAGCUCUGUAUAUUCUGUGAUAAGCAACGGUUGACGCGCAGACCAUGAGAGAGCAUUAUGAUGUCAAAUUGCCGCAUGACGUCCGCUACAUUACUCUUCGCUUAAAUGAAGUUCAACCUAAUAUUUAUUAAAAUAUAUCAAUAAGCAUGUCAGAAUGAAAACAACUAAGGCCUUCUUUUGAUUUAUCGUCUAAUUUACCAUGGUUCAUUGUUCAUAUGCUUCAGUAUUUAACCAUUUGGGCUAAUGCGUGGUAAAUCAGACGAUAAAGCACUGGAAGGCCUUGAUUAUUUGUUAAAUAUGCCUUGUGUUUUUUGUUUGUUUUCUUUUUUUUUUAGAAAUAUUUCAAUAUUUGUUCGGUAAACAACACGAAAAUUGUUGAAACUUUCUACAUGUUUUCAUUUUGAAAUACCGGUAGUGGAAAAUAUAUAUGUCUUUCCAUUUCAGGUUUAUUGGGGCAUGUUAGUAAGUGACAUAACAACAGUACCGUUUUGGGCUCUGGACUGUAAAUUAUAUGGAUGAUCUGAGAUCUCAGCAGAGGCAGCAUCGGUAGAAGCAGCAUCGUUGUGUCCUGGAGGGGUUGAAUUGUGACAAGAACCUUCAACUAGCACUUCAUUCAUACCAACUGUAUCACCUGAUUUUAUUUCUGGAAUGUCAGGAUAAACUAGAUUGAGUGUGCUGUUUUCCCAGUCAUCGUCUAACAGACUAGGGUGGAAUCCAAAAGUUUGGAAGAAAUCUUCCGCAGAAAAUUUCUUGAACAGUUUCAGUGUCAUCAACAUUAAUACUUUCAUCAUGAGGAACAAUGCCCUCCCAUAUAACUUCAAUAGUGUCAGGGCUAAUGUUAUUGGACAUUUUGACAGCUGUCAGAUUUGACAGUUUAACAGCAGACACCUAAAUAUUCACUGUUGUACAGUAUUUAUUUAAAGAAAUGAAGAAGCACUUUGAAUGAUUUUAUUUGAAUGAAUUAUAAAAUGUGGCUGGUUGUAACUGUAUUCAUAAGAAACAACAAGUUAUUUUUACACUUUUAUUCUAUUUUUUAUUCUUUGUGUAUUGAAUAUCUCCCGUUUCUAUCCACUAGUUUACAGUAUCGAUCGGUAGCCCGGAAAUUAGAUCGCAAGUAGUCCGUCACUUGUAUUGACUGUGUAAAUUUCUAGUGACUGUAUAAAGCUCAAGUUUACACUGCAGGCUGAUAUCGGCCUGAUAAAUGCAUAGUGGUAGGAUAAAAUAUAUGACGGAAUAAAAAAAAUUCAGCUGACCUACUGGCCUCCAUUGGUGUUGUUACUGUUUUGUCUGCACUUGCCAGAGCGAGGCUCCAGUGGGGAAAGACCGCUGGUGUCAAAUUAUGUAGGGAAUAACUACGUUUCGUGAAAUAAUAACAAAGAAUUGUUAAAUUUUCUGCUUUAUAUUCACGAAGAACAUGAACUAGCCGUGUGUGCGAAACCGCGUACAGUCCGACACCGGGUACACUGAUUCUACAGUUACAACCAGCCACAACUCAUUCAUCCAUAAGCGUGGUACGCAACGGGGAAGAAGUUUACUUUCGA